rnacentral:rRNA from 1 species
AUUGAACGCUGGCGGCAUGCUUUACACAUGCAAGUCGAACGGCAGCGCGGGCUUCGGCCUGGCGGCGAGUGGUGAACGGGUGAGUAAUACAUCGGAACGUGCCCAGUAGUGGGGGAUAGCUCGGCGAAAGCCGGAUUAAUACCGCAUACGACCUGAGGGUGAAAGCGGGGGAUCUUCGGACCUCGCGCUAUUGGAGCGGCCGAUGGCAGAUUAGCUAGUUGGUGGGGUAAAGGCCUACCAAGGCGACGAUCUGUAGCUGGUCUGAGAGGACGACCAGCCACACUGGGACUGAGACACGGCCCAGACUCCUACGGGAGGCAGCAGUGGGGAAUUUUGGACAAUGGGCGAAAGCCUGAUCCAGCAAUGCCGCGUGUGUGAUGAAGGCCUUCGGGUUGUAAAGCACUUUUGGCGGGAACGAAAAGGACUGUGCCAAUACCACGGUUCGAUGACGGUACCCGCAGAAUAAGCACCGGCUAACUACGUG